UACGAAGGGGGCUAGCGUUGCUCGGAAUUACUGGGCGUAAGGGCGCGUAGGCGGUUCUAUAAGUCAGGCGUGAAAUUCCUGGGCUUAACCUGGGGGCUGCGCUUGAGACUGUGGGACUUGAGGUCAGAAGAGGGUCGUGGAAUUCCCAGUGUAGAGGUGAAAUUCGUAGAUAUUGGGAAGAACACCGGUGGCGAAGGCGGCGACCUGGUCUGAUACUGACGCUGAGGCGCGACAGCGUGGGGAGCAAACAGG
rnacentral:rRNA from 1 species